ACUCAGUGGUGAAGGCUGUGCGGACACUGGGGGCCCGCCAGGGGUUUGGCCCCUUACUCAACCCAACCACGGUCCUCUCCGGCGCAGGCCGAUUUGAGGACCUAGACUCCUUGAUGCUGACGGCCUGAGGGGGCUCCCGGGUGCCGGAUAUCUGACACAGGCCAGGGAGGCUCCCCUGGGAGACCUGGCAGGCCUGGAGGUGUGAGUCGGCUCUGAGCAGCUGCUCUGGGAGAGCCAGUCCACGGAGCCAAAGCUGGAGGGCAGCUGCCGGCCACAAGUUGGGGAGGAGGAGAGACGCAAGGCCGUCAGAUGCUUGUCCUGGAAACCAACCAUGAGCUGUGAUGAAAUCCAGGCAACUGAGUUGUGUUUCAGCCCAAAGCAGCAAAUGGAAUCCAGCUUCAGGACCAUCAUCUGACAUAGGGGAAGAAGACUUACAUAGAAGGCCUAACCAGCACCCAAGAUCAGUAAUGAUUAAAGGGUAAAUUAACCAGGAAGACAUAGCAACUGUGGCUCAUAGGUGGAGGAGACUUGCUUUGUCUCAGAUGAGACUUUGGACUGUGGACUUUUGAGUUAAUGCUGAAAUGAGUUGAGACUUUGGGGAACUGUUGGGAAGGCAUGAUUGGUUUUAAAUAUGAAUAUAUGAGAUUUGGGAGGGGGUCAGGGGUGGAAUGAUAUGGUUUGGCUCUGUGUCCCCACCCAAAUCUCAUCUUGUAGCUCCCAUAAUCCUCCCAUGUUGUGGGAGGGACCCAGUGGGAGAUGAUUGAAUCAUGAGGGCGGGUCUUUCUCAUGCUGUUCAUGAUCCCAUUCAUGUGAGAAAGACCCAUGUGAUCAUGAAUGGGUCUCACAAGAUCUGAUGGUGUUAAAAAUGGGAGUUUCUCUGCACAAGCUCUCUGCCUGCUGCCAUUCACAAAGGAUGUGACUUGCUUCUCCUUGCCUUCUGCUAUGAUUGUGAGGCCUCCCUAGCCAUGUGGAACUGUGAGUCCAAUUAAACCUCUUUCUUUUGUAAAUUGGGCUGGUGUCAGAGAAGGCUGAAUUGGGUACCAAGACAUUCCUU
rnacentral:lncRNA from 1 species